CCAACGAUCUGGCAUCAUUUACAACAAGUUGCACACUUGAAAAACCAAAAUUGACUGCAUAAAAGAGGAUUUAUUGUCAACUUUGUCUAUUUCCGCAAUACAAAAUAUACAAAUUAUCACGCUCCGUGGGAACGACCAAUAUGGCCGCCGCACGUAAACUGCGACUGCGAUCAGGCUUCAAUUUUCGCCUGCCUGUAGGGUGGGAUGCGCUAUCUAGUGUAUAUG